rnacentral:lncRNA from 1 species
UUUCAUUUUACUACAGAGAUAUGGAUGGAGCACAAAAUAAAAGAUUCAUUCCAAAAAGUGACUGAUAAAAUAUGAAAGCUGUGACUUUAAUAACUUACUUUUAAAGAAACACUACCAAAGUGUGGGUUAUUGCAAGGGCAGAAAAGCAGUUUUAAUGGCUUUCCUCAAUGUCUGUCAUCUACUCAUAGCAAAACAAAUGUGGCAAACCUUUUGAGUUGUGCUCAAACUUCAGUGAACAUAAAAAAAAAAAUUAGUGGGAGAAAUGCUACAAGUAUGAAGAACGUGGCAAAGACUGUACAUUGUUCUCACAUUUUACUAUAAAAAAGGAAAUUCCUAUUGCAGAGAGAUGACACAAAUGUGAAGAAUGUGGCAAAGCCUUUAAAAAGUUAUCAAGUCUUACUGAACAUAAGAAAGUUUAUCCUGGAGAGAAAUCUUACAAAUAUAAAGAAUGUGGCAAACCUUCACCUGCUCCUAAACCUUCAUUAAACACAAGAUAAAUCAUGCUGGAGACACAUCCUAAAAACGCGUGGAACGUGGCAAAGCCUUUAAGUGCUUCUCAGACCUUACUAAUCAUAAGAGAAUUCACACUGGAGAGAAACCCUACAAAUGUGAAAAAUGCGGCCAAACAUUGAGCUCAUUCUCACACCUCAUUAGACAUAAGAAAAUUCAUACUACAGAGAAAGUCCACAAGUGAUAAAAAUGUGGAAAAGCCUUUAACAAAUCCUCA